UCUAUUAAAGUGCAUGAUAAUGAGUUUAAUAUUCUAAAUAGGUAUUGGAGGUGCCACAUGCCUAGUGUCUAUUAUAUAUGGCCAUCAUGAUGUGCCUUCAGAUCAAUGCUCACGUUGGUCGAGCCACACUCGGAUCUGAACAUUUAUUUGUUGGAUGUACUUGGUAUUAUCAUGUUAAUCAUUAUACAUAAUCUGGAUUUUCA
rnacentral:lncRNA from 1 species